rnacentral:rRNA from 1 species
GAUGAACGCUAGCUACAGGCUUAACACAUGCAAGUCGAGGGGCAUCAGGAAGAAAGCUUGCUUUCUUUGCUGGCGACCGGCGCACGGGUGAGUAACACGUAUCCAACCUGCCCUUUACUCGGGGAUAGCCUUUCGAAAGAAAGAUUAAUACCCGAUAGUAUAAUGAUUCCGCAUGGUUUCAUUAUUAAGGAUCCGUAAGGAUGGGAUGCGUUCCAUUAGGUUGUUGGUGAGGUAACGGCUCACCAAGCCUUCGAUGGAUAGGGGUUCUGAGAGGAAGGUCCCCCACAUUGGAACUGAGACACGGUCCAAACUCCUACGGGAGGCAGCAGUGAGGAAUAUUGGUCAAUGGACGAGAGUCUGAACCAGCCAAGUAGCGUGAAGGAUGAAGGUCCUACGGAUUGUAAACUUCUUUUAUAAGGGAAUAAAAACCUCCCACGUGUGGGAGCUUGUAUGUACCUUAUGAAUAAGCAUCGGCUAACUCCGUG